rnacentral:rRNA from 1 species
GGGUUGUGAGGUUAAGCGACUAAGCGUACACGGUGGAUGCCCUGGCAGUCAGAGGCGAUGAAGGGCGUGCUAAUCUGCGAUAAGCGCCGGUAAGGUGAUAUGAACCGUUAUAACCGGCGAUACCCGAAUGGGGAAACCCAGUGUGAUUCGUCACACUAUCAUUAACUGAAUCCAUAGGUUAAUGAGGCGAACCGGGGGAACUGAAACAUCUAAGUACCCCGAGGAAAAGAAAUCAACCGAGAUUCCCCCAGUAGCGGCGAGCGAACGGGGAGGAGCCCAGAGCCUGAAUCAGCAUGUGUGUUAGUGGAAGCGUCUGGAAAGGCGCGCGAUACAGGGUGACAGCCCCGUACACAAAAGCGCAUGUGCUGUGAGCUCGAUGAGUAGGGCGGGACACGUGGUAUCCUGUCUGAAUAUGGGGGGACCAUCCUCCAAGGCUAAAUACUCCUGACUGACCGAUAGUGAACCAGUACCGUGAGGGAAAGGCGAAAAGAACCCCGGCGAGGGGAGUGAAAAAGAACCUGAAACCGUGUACGUACAAGCAGUGGGAGCACCCUUUGGGUGUGACUGCGUACCUUUUGUAUAAUGGGUC